AGCGAACGCUGGCGGCAGGCCUAACACAUGCAAGUCGAACGAACCUUUCGGGGUUAGUGGCGGACGGGUGAGUAACACGUGGGAACGUGCCUUUAGGUUCGGAAUAACUCAGGGAAACUUGUGCUAAUACCGAAUGUGCCCUUCGGGGGAAAGAUUAAUCGCCUUUAGAGCGGCCCGCGUCUGAUUAGCUAGUUGGUUGAGGUAAUGGCUCACCAAGGCGACGAUCAGUAGCUGGUCUGAGAGGAUGAUCAGCCACAUUGGGACUGAGACACGGCCCAAACUCCUACGGGAGGCAGCAGGGGGGAAUCUUGCGCAAUGGGCGAAAGCCUGACGCAGCCAGGCCGGGGGAAUGAUGAAGGUCUUAGGAUUUUAAAAUUCUUUCCCCGGGGACGAUAAGGACGGUACCCGGAGAAGAAGCCCCGGCUAACUUCGU
rnacentral:rRNA from 1 species